rnacentral:ncRNA from 1 species
UCACUUGAUUCUUGCGAGUAAUGAUACCCACAAGAUAUUGAACAAUACCUGGCCAGGACGAAGCCAGGGAGAAACUCUGCUGGAGGUCCGCAAUGAGGAGCUGGAUGUAGGGGGCGAAAGACUAAUCAAACCAUCCAUCCUAGAGGCUGGUACCUUCUGAAGUUUCUAUCAGGAUAGUUUGCACUCGUCACAAUCGAUGCAGGGAAUGAUUAUAGGGCAUUAGGAUCGAAAAGACCUCGAAUCUAUUUUCAAAAUCCGAAUAGAAGAGAUCCCAGGACUUUCUUAAAAGUAAAGCAAUGGGAACAAGAUCUAAGUAACCAAAUGGGCCAAUUUUGGUAAGCUGUGGGAUGAACCAAAUGCAGAGGCGUCUAAAUAACUCGCGUAAACGUUCAAAUCAAUUUUUAUUAUAAUUAAAACCACUACGUUACAUAAAGAUAAGAGGUAAAAUAUUCACUUAUUCUUUGCAGAU